GGGGAAUCUUGCGCAAUGGGCGAAAGCCUGACGCAGCGACGCCGCGUGAGUGAUGAAGGCCUUCGGGUUGUAAAGCUCUGUGGGGAGAGACGAAUAAGUGCGUUCUAAUACAGCGCAUGAUGACGGUAUCUCCUUAGCAAGCACCGGCUAACUCUGUGCCAGCAGCCGCGGUAAGACAGAGGGUGCAAACGUUGUUCGGAAUUACUGGGCGUAAAGCGAGUGUAGGCGGUCUUGUAAGUCGGAUGUGAAAGCCCCGGGCUCAACCCGGGAAGUGCACUCGAUACUGCGAGGCUAGAGUAUCGGAGAGGUUGGUGGAAUUCUCGGUGUAGAGGUGAAAUUCGUAGAUAUCGAGAGGAACACCGGUGGCGAAGGCGGCCAACUGGACGAAUACUGACGCUGAGACUCGAAAGCGUGGGGAGCAAAC
rnacentral:rRNA from 1 species